GACAGAGGGUGCGAGCGUUGUUCGGAAUUACUGGGCGUAAAGCGCAUGUAGGCGGCAACGCAAGUCGGGCGUGAAAUCCCACGGCUCAACCGUGGAAGUGCACUCGAAACUGCGUAGCUAGAGUCCUGGAGAGGAAGGUGGAAUGCUUGGUGUAGAGGUGAAAUUCGUAGAUAUCAAGCGGAACACCGGUGGCGAAGGCGGCCUUCUGGACAGUGACUGACGCUGAGACGCGAAAGCGUGGGGAGCAAACAGG
rnacentral:rRNA from 1 species